CGAUGGAGGGGGGUAACUACUGGAAACGGUAGCUAAUACCGCAUAACGUCGCAAGACCAAAGAGGGGGACCUUAGGGCCUCUUGCCAUCGGAUGUGCCCAGAUGGGAUUAGCUAGUAGGUGGGGUAACGGCUCACCUAGGCGACGAUCCCUAGCUGGUCUGAGAGGAUGACCAGCCACACUGGAACUGAGACACGGUCCAG
rnacentral:rRNA from 1 species